UCCGUAGGUGAACCUGCGGAAGGAUCAUUACCGAGUUGAUUCGGGCUCCGGCCCGAUCCUCCCACCCUUUGUGUACCUACCUCUGUUGCUUUGGCGGGCCGCGGUCCUCCGCGGCCGCCCCCCUCCCCGGGGGGUGGCCAGCGCCCGCCAGAGGACCAUCAAACUCCAGUCAGUAAACGAUGCAGUCUGAAAAACAUUUAAUAAACUAAAACUUUCAACAACGGAUCUCUUGGUUCUGGCAUCGAUGAAGAACGCAGCGAAAUGCGAUAAGUAAUGUGAAUUGCAGAAUUCAGUGAAUCAUCGAAUCUUUGAACGCACAUUGCGCCCUUUGGUAUUCCGAAGGGCAUGCCUGUUCGAGCGUCAUUACAACCCUCAAGCUCUGCUUGGUAUUGGGCACCGUCCUUUGCGGGCGCGCCUCAAAGACCUCGGCGGUGGCGUCUUGCCUCAAGCGUAGUAGAACAUACAUCUCGCUUCGGAGCGCAGGGCGUCGCCCGCCGGACGAACCUUCNGAACUUUUCUCAAGGUUGACCUCGGAUCAGGUAGGGAUACCCGCUGAACUUAAGCAUAUCAAUAAGCGGAGGA
rnacentral:rRNA from 1 species